rnacentral:lncRNA from 1 species
AUUUUGUUUCCUGGUGGUUUGAGAAGAAAGUUCCUGUGGUGAAAUUGAAAAGGGGAUAAAGGGAAGUACUUAUUUUAAAACAUAAGUAACUUGUGGAUUGUUGAAUACUGGAAAAAGAGUGUUACUUCCCCGUUAACCUACGCCUCGUGUAAUCCUUCAGGUUGGAAGUCGGAUCGCAGACCGUGUAUAUGACAUACCCAGAAAUUUCCCCCUUGCUUUGGAUCUUGGUUGUGGAAGAGGUUACAUUGCACAAUAUUUGAAUAAGGAAACUAUUGGAAAGUUUUUCCAAGCUGACAUUGCAGAAAAUGCUUUGAAAAAUUCCUCAG